rnacentral:rRNA from 1 species
AUUGAACGCUUGCGGCAGGCCUAACACAUGCAAGUCGAGCGGAUGACGGGAGCUUGCUCCUUGAUUCAGCGGCGGACGGGUGAGUAAUGCCUAGGAAUCUGCCUGGUAGUGGGGGACAACGUUUCGAAAGGAACGCUAAUACCGCAUACGUCCUACGGGAGAAAGCAGGGGACCUUCGGGCCUUGCGCUAUCAGAUGAGCCUAGGUCGGAUUAGCUAGUAGGUGAGGUAAUGGCUCACCUAGGCGACGAUCCGUAACUGGUCUGAGAGGAUGAUCAGUCACACUGGAACUGAGACACGGUCCAGACUCCUACGGGAGGCAGCAGUGGGGAAUAUCGGACAAUGGGCGAAAGCCUGAUCCAGCCAUGCCGCGUGUGUGAAGAAGGUCUUCGGAUUGUAAAGCACUUUAAGUUGGGAGGAAGGGCAGUAAGUUAAUACCUUGCUGUUUUGACGUUACCGACAGAAUAAGCACCGGCUAACUCUGUGCCAGCAGCCGCGGUAAUACAGAGGGUGCAAGCGUUAAUCGGAAUUACUGGGCGUAAAGCGCGCGUAGGUGGUUCGUUAAGUUGGAUGUGAAAGCCCCGGGCUCAACCUGGGAACUGCAUCCAAAACUGGCGAGCUAGAGUAUGGUAGAGGGUGGUGGAAUUUCCUGUGUAGCGGUGAAAUGCGUAGAUAUAGGAAGGAACACCAGUGGCGAAGGCGACCACCUGGACUGAUACUGACACUGAGGUGCGAAAGCGUGGGGGGCAAACAGGAUUAGAUACCCUGGUAGUCCACGCCGUAAACGAUGUCAACUAGCCGUUGGAAUCCUUGAGAUUUUAGUGGCGCAGCUAACGCAUUAAGUUGACCGCCUGGGGAGUACGGCCGCAAGGUUAAAACUCAAAUGAAUUGACGGGGGCCCGCACAAGCGGUGGAGCAUGUGGUUUAAUUCGAAGCAACGCGAAGAACCUUACCAGGCCUUGACAUGCAGAGAACUUUCCAGAGAUGGAUUGGUGCCUUCGGGAACUCUGACACAGGUGCUGCAUGGCUGUCGUCAGCUCGUGCCGUGAGAUGUUGGGUUAAGUCCCGUAACGAGCGCAACCCUUGUCCUUAGUUACCAGCACGUUAUGGUGGGCACUCUAAGGAGACUGCCGGUGACAAACCGGAGGAAGGUGGGGAUGACGUCAAGUCAUCAUGGCCCUUACGGCCUGGGCUACACACGUGCUACAAUGGUCGGUACAGAGGGUUGCCAAGCCGCGAGGUGGAGCUAAUCUCACAAAACCGAUCGUAGUCCGGAUCGCAGUCUGCAACUCGACUGCGUGAAGUCGGAAUCGCUAGUAAUCGCAGAUCAGAAUGUUGCGGUGAAUACGUUCCCGGGCCU